rnacentral:rRNA from 1 species
GCUUUUAGAAAAUUACAUGCCGGAUUAGCUAGUUGGUAGAGUAAAAGCCUACCAAGGUAACGAUCCGUAGCUGGUCUGAGAGGAUGAUCAGCCACACUGGGACUGAGAACAGGCCCAGACUCUACGGGAGGCAGCAGUGGGGAAUAUUGGACAAUGGGGGGAACCCUGAUCCAGUCAUGCCGCGUGUGUGAAGAAGGCCUUUGGGUUGUAAAGCACUUUCAGCGAAGAAGAUAAGUUAGAAAAUAUAAAGUUAUAACUAUGACGGUACUCGCAGAAGUAGCACCGGCUUACUCCGUGCCAGCAGCCGCGGUAAGACGGAGGGUGCAAGCGUUAAUCAGAAUUACUGGGCGUAAAGGGCAUGUAGGUGGUUUGUUAAGCUUUAUGUGAAAGCCCUAUGCUUAACAUAGGAACGGAAUAAAGAACUGACAAACUAGAGUGCAGAAGAGGAAGGUAGAAUUCCCGGUGUAGCGGUGAAAUGCGUAGAUAUCUGGAGGAAUACCAGUUGCGAAGGCGACCUUCUGGGCUGACACUGACACUGAGAUUCGAAAGCGUGGGGAGCAAACAGGAUUAGAUCCCUUGGUACUCCCCGGGCUAAACGAUAUCAAGUUUCCCCCCGAUUUUCAAAGAAUUUCGUGGCGUCGUUAACGCGGUAUGUGGAUCGCCUGUCGAGUACGGUCGCAAGGCUCAUCCUCUCAGGCCUUGUCGGGGGCCCGCCCAAGCGGGGGAGCAUGUGGUCCAAUUCGAUGCUCCGCGCAAAACUUUUCUUAAUGUUCACAUCCAAAGUUCUUUCCAGAGACCGAAGGGUGCCUUGGGGUAAUUUGAGGCAGGUGCCGCACGUUUCUCGUCAGCUUUCCCCGCUAAUAGGUAUAUAAGCAUGUGUAACGAGCGCGGCGCCUGUCCGC